UUCAAGUUUCAUACCAGAGCCCAAUCAAAAUGACCAGGGAUUUUGCAGAGGAAGAAUCAGCAACAGUUGAGGGCCAUCUUGCGUGCCAAUCAUGAAGAGGCUCAUGGGCCAACUCGAUUGUACUGAGGAAGUUUCGAUAAUUGUGAAGAUCCAAACACCUGAUUUGGUCUCAACAGCACAUUCCUGAAUGCUUAGUUGUUUGAUGCAGUUGCUUUCUAAUGAUAUCGCUCCCGUGCUUUCCUCAAGACUCUUGAAACUCUGUGUUAGAGAGUUUGAUAAGCCGAUAUCACUUAAGCUUGAUGGAUACAAGUACUUGGAAGAGCUUUCAACAGAAAAGUGAGGUUCCAUUGAAAGAUCGGACCUUUCACCAUCAAUUCGUCUGAAACAAUUAUGCGCUGAGCAUUGCAAUAACCUAGUUGAAAUUCAAGGCUAUGAGAAUUUGGAGUUCUUGGAGGACAUAUUUAUAUGUGGCUGCAAUUCCAUUAAAAUGCUUCUCUGUCCAGAAUCGCGGUGUUUGAAGCAUUUAGUGGCUAGGAGAUGCAACAAUCUAGUCGAAAUUCGAGGCCUUGACGGUGCGAAGUUCUUAGUAAAAUUGGAUAUCACGAGAUGCAUAUCAAUGGAGACUUUGCCAAAUGUAACCGGAUAUGAGAAGUUAUGAUCUCUAGUAGUUGAAGACUGUAAGAAACUUACUCAGCUUUGGGGAUUUGAAAAGUUGGAUUUAAUUGAUUUGGAUAUUUCUGGUUGCGACUCAUUGGAAGCAAUACGGAAAUUAUCUGGAACACGCCUCUUUAGAAAUUAUCAAGAAGAGCUGUCUUGCGACUCAUGGAGUGAUGUUUCCUCACCAGAGGUUCUGUACUUUCCUAAAUUGCUAGUCUUACAUGAUUGAAGGAGUGGGGGAGUUGGUCAUAGAAAUGCUUCAGCCAAGAUCAAAAUGUUGACGCAAAUGUCAAUAGAAG